rnacentral:rRNA from 1 species
GAUGAACGCUGGCGGCGUGCUUAACACAUGCAAGUCGAACGAGAACGGGUUAUAGCUUGCUAUAAUUGUCAGCUAAGUGGCGCACGGGUGAGUAAUGUAUAGGUAAUAUGCCUCUUGCUAAGGGAUAACAAAUGGAAACGUUUGCUAAUACCUUAUACUCCUUAUUAACAGAAGUUAAUAAGGGAAAGAUUUAUUGGUAAGAGAUUAGCCUGUAUUGUAUCAGUUAGUUGGUGAGGUAAUGGCUUACCAAGACUAUGACACAUAACUGGUUUGAGAGGAUGAUCAGUCACACUGGAACUGAGACACGGUCCAGACUCCUACGGGAGGCAGCAGUGGGGAAUAUUGCACAAUGGACGAAAGUCUGAUGCAGCAACGCCGCGUGGAGGAUGACACAUUUCGGUGCGUAAACUCCUUUUAUAUGAGAAGAUAAUGACGGUAUUAUAUGAAUAAGCACCGGCUAACUCCGUGCCAGCCGCCGCCGUAA